UUUCCGUAGGUGAACCUGCGGAAGGAUCAUUAAUGAAAUACAUGGACGCUCUCUUUAGAGGUCCACCACUUCAUUUCUCACACUGUGCACAAACUACUUUACACCCAUUUUAACACGUUAGUAUAAGAAUGUCAUCAAUCUCUUAAUUGAGCAUAAAAAGUUAAAACUUUCGGCAACGGAUCUCUUGGCUCCCGCAUCGAUGAAGAACGCAGC
rnacentral:misc_RNA from 1 species